GACUGGGAUAACUCCGGGAAACCGGAGCUAAUACCGGAUAGUUCCUUGAACCGCAUGGUUCAAGGAUGAAAGACGGUUUCGGCUGUCACUUACAGAUGGACCCGCGGCGCAUUAGCUAGUUGGUGAGGUAACGGCUCACCAAGGSGACGAUGCGUAGCCGACCUGAGAGGGUGAUCGGCCACACUGGGACUGAGACACGGCCCAGACUCCUACGGGAGGCAGCAGUAGGGAAUCUUCCGCAAUGGACGAAAGUCUGACGGAGCAACGCCGCGUGAGUGAUGAAGGUUUUCGGAUCGUAAAGCUCUGUUGUUAGGGAAGAACAAGUGCAAGAGUAACUGCUUGCACCUUGACGGUACCUAACCAGAAAGCCACGGCUAACUACGUGCCAGCAGCCGCGGUAAUACGUAGGUGGCAAGCGUUGUCCGGAAUUAUUGGGCGUAAAGGGCUCGCAGGCGGUUUCUUAAGUCUGAUGUGAAAGCCCCCGGCUCAACCGGGGAGGGUCAUUGGAAACUGGGAAACUUGAGUGCAGAAGAGGAGAGUGGAAUUCCACGUGUAGCGGUGAAAUGCGUAGAGAUGUGGAGGAACACCAGUGGCGAAGGCGACUCUCUGGUCUGUAACUGACGCUGAGGAGCGAAAGCGUGGGGAGCGAACAGGAUUAGAUACCCUGGUAGUCCACGCCGUAAACGAUGAGUGCUAAGUGUUAGGGGGUUUCCGCCCCUUAGUGCUGCAGCUAACGCAUUAAGCACUCCGCCUGGGGAGUACGGUCGCAAGACUGAAACUCAAAGGAAUUGACGGGGGCCCGCACAAGCGGUGGAGCAUGUGGUUUAAUUCGAAGCAACGCGAAGAACCUUACCAGGUCUUGACAUCCUCUGACAACCCUAGAGAUAGGGCUUUCCCUUCGGGGACAGAGUGACAGGUGGUGCAUGGUUGUCGUCAGCUCGUGUCGUGAGAUGUUGGGUUAAGUCCCGCAACGAGCGCAACCCUUGAUCUUAGUUGCCAGCAUUCAGUUGGGCACUCUAAGGUGACUGCCGGUGACAAACCGGAGGAAGGUGGGGAUGACGUCAAAUCAUCAUGCCCCUUAUGACCUGGGCUACACACGUGCUACAAUGGACAGAACAAAGGGCUGCGAGACCGCAAGGUUUAGCCAAUCCCACAAAUCUGUUCUCAGUUCGGAUCGCAGUCUGCAACUCGACUGCGUGAAGCUGGAAUCGCUAGUAA
rnacentral:rRNA from 1 species